rnacentral:rRNA from 1 species
AGAACGAACGCUGGCGGCAGGCCUCAAACAUGCAAGUCUAGGGGGUGUAGCAAUACAUCACCGGCGGACGGGUGCGUAACACGUGGGAAUAUACCUUUUGGUUCGGAACAACGCAGGGAAACUUGCGCUAAUACCGAAUGUGCCCUUACGGGGAAAGAUUAAUCGCCAAAGGAUUAGCCCGCGUAGGAUUAGCUAGUUGGUGAGGUAAUGGCUCACCAAGGCUCCGAUCCUUAGCUGUUCUGAGAGGAAGAUCAGCCACACUGGGACUGAGACACGGCCCAGACUCCUACGGGAGGCAGCAGUUGGGAAUCUUGGACAAUGGGGAAACCCUGAUCCAGCCAUGCCGCGUGAGUGAUGAAGGCCUUCGGGUUGUAAAACUCUUUCGACGGGGACGAUAAUGACGGUACCCGUAGAAGAAGCUCCGGCUAACUUCGUGCCAGCAGCCGC